AUUGAACGCUGGCGGCAGGCCUAACACAUGCAAGUCGAACGAGUGGCGGACGGGUGAGUAAUGUCUGGGAAACUGCGUGAUGGAGGGGGAUAACUACUGUAAACGGUAUCUACUACCGCAUACCCUCGGAUGCGCCGAGAUGGGAUUAGCUAGUAGGUGGGGUAAUGGCUCACCUAGGCGACGAUCCCUAGCUGGUCUGAGAGGAUGACCAGCCACACUGGAACUGAGACACGGUCCAGACUCCUACGGGAGGCAGCAGUGGGGAAUAUUGCACAAUGGGCGCAAGCCUGAUGCAGCCAUGCCGCGUGUAUGAAGAAGGCCUUCGGGUUGUAAAGUACUUUCAGCGGGGAGGCGUUACCCGCAGAAGAAGCACCGGCUAACUCCGUGCCAGCAGCCGCGGUAAUUC
rnacentral:rRNA from 1 species